UAAUCAAAAUCCAGAUAGUUUUGUGAAUAUUGGGGUUUCUUAAUUUGUCAGGUUAUUAGCAUAAAAUAUGUCGUGAUUUUGGUUGUCCAUAUGUAGUUGAUAGACUUUUAAGUUGAAGGAUUGAAAUUUCAAUUGUUUUCCUCUAUCACUCUCUUGUAAGUCUUCUUGAUCCUUUGGAUAACAUGAUCAAUAUUUUGAAAUGUUUCUGCACUGAGAAAUGGUUCAAAGGAGCUUCUGUCAGCCCAUUCAUGGACGAUACUGGGGGUUGAACUAGCUGCCGACUCAUUCGUUUAGCCACUAAGUAGAUUACAGGAUGUUUUAUGCUACUGUGAUUGAAUGAAUGAUGCGGGAGAUAGUUUCAUGUCCCUCUUUCUCUGUGCUUGGACUGAAGGGAGCUCCUCUUGCUGUUGCCUUCAUUUUGUUUUCCUUUGGGCUGAGUCUUGUAUCCAAAAGAUGAUCCCCUUCUGGCAAGAUGCCUUUAUUAUUCACUUAUGGCUCGUUUGGCAAGAUUGAUUGUACAGUAGUGAACAAUAUAUGUAAAAAAAGAAAAUAAAAUCUUGUCCAUUGUAUAUUUAUACCAUCUAAUCUUUUAUACCAUACAUGCUUUUAUUGAAUGUUGAACGGUGAAUUUUGAUGACAUACAGCUGGCUGUUUUUCUUCUGUGUUCGUUCUCACUUUAACGUUUUUAAGAAAAUGUUGCUAAAUCUCGGUAAAUAACCUAAGAUCUCAUCUCUAGUAUCUCUUCGUGACCUUCUGGUUCAAGUAGUUGUUAAUUUCCUAUGGAUAAACCGAACUAAACUUCUAUGGUUAUUAGAGAGAAAAGUCUAACAUGUUUCCUUUUCCAUAUUUCCAUAAAUCAUAGUCUAUUGAUUAGACGUGCUCAAAAUCAUUCUUGUUGCUGUUGAUCAUACGAAAGCUCGACAUCAUGGUCAUACUGUAAGAGGUGAACUCCCCUUGUUUGUUGAAUGUUUGCUUAUGAAGAAAUAGCUUGAAAUUUUGUUGCGGUUUUUUUUCUUCAAUAGUUUUCUAAAUCAAAAUCAGUUGGAAGCUCCUCAUUUGAGUUUAUACUCGACGUUUUACAUUUUUUGAGUUGUUUCUUGGAUUCUUUUAUAAAUUAUUCCUUUGACGCGUAGUUUUGCCACCUUUUCAGUAUUACUUAUAGAAACAGAGUUUUACUUGGGAGUGUUUCUGUUGAUUUUACUUCAAAAUUAUAGCUUAUUCGAGUGCGUAAAACUGUGAACUGCUGCUCGAGCUAAAUGUUUUAAAGAUUCUAUCAGAAAGUUUAAUAUGUGGUUCCAAGUAUAUCAUAUGUAUCCCUACACAGUUUACAGUUUUGGUAAUAAUCUGAUGAUUAUGAUAAUUCAAAUACCUGGUACUGUACAAUUUUCAGCACUUCUUUCACUGUUUUGUCUAUUAAUGUAUCAUAAAACACCAUCUGUUUCUUGCUCUCUCAUUUUUAUUAAAUUGAACAUGCAAGAUUGCCAUUUGGACCUGGAAAUCGCGUACUUUCAAGUGAUAUGUGGAAGCUACAGGUAUGAUUUUAUAUGCUUUACGAUGUCAUAGUUGUUUCUGUUUGUUCUUAUUUCUUUAUGCAUGUAGUAUGGAUGAAGAGCCUCCUAUUCGGGAAAUUAAUUAGUUUAUUUUCAAAUGAUUAGCUUCUGCAGAUUGGGUUUGUAGGGUGGUCCUCAUUUCUGCACUGUGUUUCUGAAAUGCUUACUGAUUUCAUUGUGUAUUUUAUAAGUAAAAUGUGGUCCAAUAUCAGUUUCCUUCCUAUUUUUCGUAUACUAAAGUUGUCAUAGAAAGUGACAUGAAAAGUUUUAUAUGUGAAAAUUAUUUAAGCAAUAUUUUUCUUAUAAUAAAGUUGUCAUAGAUAGUGACAUUAAAAGUUUAUAUGUGUAAAAUAUUUAAGCUAAUCUUCUGUGUUGCGUAGGGCUGCAGACCAGGGAGGAUCAAGAUCAGCUCGAGAAAUUUAUCGACUGGACUUGACAAAUUUUGAUACCGAGUGUUGAAUUUCAUUAAGUUCGCCUCAUUGGAGUCUUGAUAUGCCAUAAGCAAAGGUAACUCGAUCUCUCUUCUUCCUUUCUCCGACCCCAUGUCGCUACAUGGAAACAUGGCGAGUAAAAAAGGGAUACUGUCAACGCGUUACGACCUCUUAUUUUGAUUUAAUGUUAUAGAAUUAGAAUUUGGUGGUCCCAUUUUUUGUGUACUAUGAUAAAUUGCUGCAAUGGUAGUCAAGUUUAACUCAGUAUUUGUCGGGUGCAUGUGCAGUUUUGCUUAUUUCUGUUCUCACUGAAAUUGACUGUAAAUAAAAUUUAAUUGAUGGCUACAGCUAUUGAUGGUGA
rnacentral:lncRNA from 1 species